GCCAGGGUAGCUCAAUGGUGGAGCAGGGCUUUCAUAAGGCCAAGGAUGUGGGUUCGAAUCCCGCCCCUGGUA
rnacentral:tRNA from 1 species